rnacentral:tRNA from 1 species
GCCCAAGUGGCGGAAUUGGUAUACGCGCACGAUUGAGGUUCGUGUUCCGUAAGGAUUGGAGGUUCAAGUCCUCUCUUGGGCACCA